rnacentral:lncRNA from 1 species
CUAAUGACUUCAUCAAGUCAUUAAAAGAAAGGAUUAGAGACAUGCUGGUCCACACAACAAGUCGUAAAUCCUUCCACUGACUUCACUAAGUCAUGAAGAGGACUAAGACAAGUCGAACUAGAGGCACCUUAAUCAGUCGAACUGAUUUCCUAGUUAGUAUGGAUCAACCCAAAUCAUUUAGCGAUCUGAUCAAAACAUAAUUCACCAUGUUAGCCAGAUAAGUG